UGAAGAGGAACUGAACCAACG
rnacentral:misc_RNA from 1 species